rnacentral:lncRNA from 1 species
AUUACAGACAAUUUCUAGCUUCCAUGCCGCCUUGGCUCAUCUCAAAGGCAAAGAAAAAAAGACAUGAAUAGAAGAAGCAUCAUCAGUGUUGCAGAAUCUGAUCCUGGCAGGUGGAAGGAUGAAGGCCAUAUGUGAUCAAUGUGGUCUAUAGAGCAAAAGCAGAUCAUUACUUUCAUGAAUGAGAGGGUGGAACAUUUUAACUUCUCUUUUACGGAUUUGUUGAAGGUCACUCUACUCUAAAAGAGGCAAUGGUAAAUUUAACAGCCAAGGUGGUAUGAUUAGAAGACUAAACACAGGUAUACAAAAA